rnacentral:rRNA from 1 species
AAACUUAAAUGAAUUGACGGGACCCCGCACAAGCAGCGGAGCGUGCGGUUUAAUUCGAGGCUACACGAAGAACCUUACCAGGGUUUGACAUGCAAGUGGUAGGAAUCCGAAAGGUGACCGACCCUUCGGGAGCUUGCACAGGUGCUGCAUGGCUGUCGUCAGCUCGUGUCGUGAGACGUUCGGUUAAGUCCGCUAACGAGCGCAACCCUCGUCGUGUGUUAUACGUGUCACACGAUACUGCCGGUAUCAAGCCGGAGGAAGGUGGGGAUGAUGUCAAGUCAGCAUGGCCUUUAUAUCCUGGGCUACACACACGCUACAAUGGCAGAUACAAUAGGUUGCGAAACCGCGAGGUGGAGCCAAUCCUCAAAGUCUGUCUCAGUUCAGAUUGUAGGCUGCAACUCGCCUGCAUGAAGUUGGAGUUGCUAGUAAACGCAGGUCAGCUAUACUGCGUUGAAUACGUUCCCGGGGUUU